rnacentral:rRNA from 1 species
CCUGGAAUGGUUUUUUGUUUAAAUGUUUUUUCGCCUAAGGAUGGGUCUGCGGCCGAUUAGGUAGUUGGUUAGGUAACGGCUUACCAAGCCGUCGAUCGGUACGGGUUGUGAGAGCAAGAGCCCGGAGAUGGAACCUGAGACAAGGUUCCAGGCCCUACGGGGUGCAGCAGGCGCGAAACCUCCGCAAUGUGAGAAAUCGCGACGGGGGGAUCCCAAGUGCCAUUCUUAACGGGAUGGCUUUUCAUUAGUGUAAAGAGCUUUUGGAAUAAGAGCUGGGCAAGACCGGUGCCAGCCGCCGCGGUAACACCGGCAGCUCUAGUGGUAGCAAUUUUUAUUGGGCCUAAAGCGUCCGUAGCCGGUUUAAUAAGUCUCUGGUGAAAUCCUGUAGCUUAACUGUGGGAAUUGCUGGAGAUACUAUUAGACUUGAGACCGGGAGAGGUUAGAGGUACUCCCAGGGUAGAGGUGAAAUUCUGUAAUCCUGGGAGGACCGCCUGUUGCGAAGGCGUCUAACUGGAACGGUUCUGACGGUGAGGGACGAAAGUUAGGGGCGCGAACCGGAUUAGAUACCCGGGUAGUCCUAACUGUAAACGAUGCGGACUUGGUGUUGGGGUGGCUUUGAGCUGCUCCAGUGCCGAAGGGAAGCUGUUAAGUCCGCCGCCUGGGAAGUACGGUCGCAAGACUGAAACUUAA